AUGUCAUUUGGAUACUUCUCUUCAACUCCAAAGUAUUUUUAUACAAUACAAAUAGUUGAAGUUAAUUUUACGAAAGAAAAAAGGCGGAUUAUGGGAGUAACAAAGAAACCAGACUUAAAUGAUCCUGUAUUAAGAGCUAAAUUAGCUAAAGGGAUGGGACAUAAUUAUUACGGGGAACCCGCACGGCCCAACGAUCUUUUAUAUAUUUUUCCAGUAGUAAUUCUAGGUACUAUUGCAUGUAAUGUAGGUUUAGCGGUUCUCGAGCCAUCAAUGAUUGGUGAACCGGCAGAUCCGUUUGCAAUACCUUUUCUAGAGAAUGUCAAUAAAUUCCAAAAUCCAUUUCGCCGCCCAGUAGCUACGACCUUUUUUUAA
rnacentral:rRNA from 1 species